CAGGAAGUAGUUUACAAAAAAUUUUAAUUUUGGAGAUUAAAGACGGGAUUUACCUCUUUCUGA
rnacentral:tRNA from 1 species